rnacentral:tRNA from 1 species
GGCGUCAUGGCAGAGUGGUGAUGCACUGGAUUGCAAAUCCAGGAACCCCGGUUCGAUUCCGGGUGACGCCUCCA